AGGAACAUUUGAUCUGGGCUUGAUAAAUGGACACACAGGUGAAGGAAGAAACAAAUGAAGUAACAGCUGUGCUCUGCUGGCUAAGGAGCCCACAAGGGUGUCAGCUGUGACCCUCGAAGGAAAGGGAUCACCCUCUUUCUGACCCUAUACCACCUUCAGCAGGGAUGAAGGCAGUCAGAGAAAACUUAGUUAAAAAUUUCUAAACUGCUUUGCUGAUUUGAUCUGGGGCCCUGGAGUGCCAACAUCCUGUGAUAGUGGCUGAUUGUUGAUGCCUGGGAGGAUACAGCAGUGACAAUCCAAAUUUACAAGACUCAACAUGGUUUUCAAAACCUCUUUUUAAAAAAGAUGUUCCUGAGUUCUGGAAUCUGAACAAAAUAUGUCUGGUUAUUAUAUAAUUCUAAUGGUCCUUGUGGAUGCUACCAUUAGAGUUCAGUUAGUGUCUCAUCUAUCACUGUAAUGUUUGUAUUGUAACACUAAUCGUGGCAAAGUAUGAUUUGAUAAAUGCUCAUUCUCAAAUCUUUU
rnacentral:lncRNA from 1 species